ensembl:lncRNA
AUGGGGCUGGGAAUGGGAAUGGGAUUGGGACUGGGAAUGGGGCUGGGAAUGGGAUUGGGAACGGGGUUGGGAAUGGGAAUGGGAUUGGGAAUGGGGAAUUGGGAAUGGGAUUGGGAAUGGAAUGGGGCUGGGAAUGGGGUUGGGAAUGGGGAAUUGGGAAUGGGGAUUGGGAAUGGGGCUGGGCCAGAGCCAGGGCCGCGGGGGGAGUGUCCUCAUCCCAGUACGAACCAGUCGGCGCUGGGCAGGGGAGGGACGGGGAGCACCGGCCCCGCCGUGCCCCGGGGUCAGUCCCGGAUAAUCCCACCGGUAAAUUCCAUCCCGAGUCCUCUCCGCUCCGGCGGCCCCGGCGGGCGACAAUCCGCCCGGUGGGGUCACUUCUCGUCGCGCUCGGCGGCCCCGCACAGGUUGGGGUGCUCGGCCAGCGUCGCCCGGACUUUCUUCUUCUCCUUGAAGCGGCCGGAGUGCGAGACCUUGACGUGCUUGCCCCUGGUGCUCUUGUCCACGAAUUUCUCCAGGCGGGCGGCGAAUCCGGGGGUGCCCUCGGGGCCCGGUCCCUCCGCGCUGUCCCCGCCCGGUGCCGCCGGUCCCUCGGGGCUCUCGCUCGGUACGGCGGGCGCUGCCUGCCGCUUCCGCAGGAACGUCAGCUUCCAGCGGCCGUGCCCGUCGCCCAUCCUGCAGCGGGACGCGGGGGUCGCGCUCCUCCGUCCCUCCCUCCCGCAGCCCCUCCGCCCUCCCCGGGACGCGUCCUCCCCGCGGGAUGCUCGCGGCGGGAUCCCCCGGGAGCACCGGGACGGGAUCCCCCGGGAGCACCGGGACCGGGCGGGUGUUCCGCGGCUCGGGAAUCGCGGAGGAAAACCGGGAAAAGGGAACCGGGAAAAGGGAACCGGGAAAAGGGGACCGGGAGCUGCCCUUAUCAGCCACGUGUGGCGGGGAGGGAGCGCGGGGAGCGAACAGGAACAGGAACCGGGCAGGUGGCACCGGGAGGUGCCGGGGGCGCUGCCGGGGGCACCGGGAGGUGCCGGGGGCGCUGCCAGGGGGUCCCCGCCUGCCCCACACCGGGCUCGGCGCUCCCCGUUCCCGCCGGGAAAGGCUCCGGAGCCGAGCGUGGCCCCGGGGCAGGAACCGAGGGAAGGCGGCUCCCGAGCCCGGGGCACGGAGGGGAUUCCCGGUGCCCGGUGCAGCACAGCCCGCUGCCCCCGUCCCUGUCCCCACCCGUGUCCCUCCCCGGUGUCGCCGGGGGCAUCGUUUUGGGGACAAAACCCCCGUUUCCGUCUGCGACGUGGGGACAAGGCCACGGGGACUGGUGGCCCCGGUGUCCCCAGCGCCCCUCGCCCGUGCCACAGCCAGGUGGGACCAUCCCCACCCGUGUCCCCAGAGCAUCCCCGGGGGUCCCACAGACCAUCCCCAGCACGGACACCGCACCCCGGUACCUGCUCCUGCCGCGGCCGGGGUCCCGGGGAUGUCCCGGGGGUGUCCCGGGGUGUCCCGGGGGUGUCCCGGGGGUGUCCCGGGGAUGUCCCGGGGUGUCCCGGGCGUGUCCCGGAGUGUCCCGGGGGGGCAGCGCGGGCAGGUGCCGCUCACCUGCCGCUGCCCCGGUGUUCCCGUCAAGGUGAACCCGCUCCCAAACCCCUCCCGCCGGAGCAAACAGCGGGGCCGGGCCGGGCACGGCUGAAUAUUCAUGACCGGGAACGGUGCCAGCCCCGGGAGGGUGGCCCCGGGUGGCCCCGGGUGGCCUUGGGUGGCUCUGGGUGGCCCUGGGUGGCCCUGGGUGGCUCUGGGUGGCCCUGGGGAUCCCUGAGGGGUUUGGGAUCUGCUCUGGAGCCUCCCGGGGAUCCCUGA